AGUGAACGCUGGCGGCAGGCCUAAUACAUGCAAGUCGAACGGCAGCACAGCAGAGCUUGCUCUGUGGGUGGCGAGUGGCGGACGGGUGAGGAAUACAUGGGAAUCUGCCCAGUCGUGGGGGAUAACGUAUGGAAACGUACGCUAAUACCGCAUGCGCCCUACGGGGGAAAGUCGGGGACCGCAAGGCCUGACGCGAUUGGAUGAGCCCAUGUUCGAUUAGCUAGUUGGCGGGGUAAAGGCCCACCAAGGCGACGAUCGAUAGCUGGUCUGAGAGGAUGAUCAGCCACACUGGAACUGAGACACGGUCCAGACUCCUACGGGAGGCAGCAGUAGGGAAUAUUGGACAAUGGGGGCGAACCCUGAUCCAGCCAUGCCGCGUGAGUGAAGAAGGCCCUCGGGUUGUAAGCUCUUUUGUCCGGAAAGAAAGCAUCUGGUUAAUACCCGGGUGUUCUGACGGUACCGGAAGAAUAAGCACCGGCUAACUUCGUGCC
rnacentral:rRNA from 1 species